rnacentral:lncRNA from 1 species
CGCUCCCUUGCUCACUCUCUCCCGCGUGCAGUGGGCCCAGUCUUGCGCGGACUCCCCUCCCCACACACCCACACACCCACCCCGCAUGACGACUCUUCCCCGACGGCAGUUGCGGUGCAUCAUCCCGAUGGCGGAGGCAGCGCGACGUCCUGUGUCCAGGAGGCUGAUGCAGCGCGACAUCCUGAGGUCACCACACCCUAGGCCCAUGUGAGCGCCUCCCUCCCUCUCCUCCACUCCCUGUCCAUGUCCCUCUCCCUCACUAUUUCUUCUUCAUGGUGAACUCCAUGAAGCAGUAAGAGGGCGGUUUGCGAUGCAGCAUCCCGAUGGCGGAGGCAGCGCGACAUCCGGUGUACAGGAGGAUGAUGCGGCGCGACAUCCCGGUGGCAGAGUCAGGCAGGAAGGAUCUGCUGGUCACCAUGCCAAACCCUAGGCCGAUGUGAGCACCUCCCUCCUUCCUCCACUCCCUGUCCAUGUCCCUCUCCCUCACUAUUUCUUCUCUGAGAUCUGUGGUGUCCUCCAUGAAGCAGCAAGAGGUGGAGGAGCUGCUCCGGUGGGUGGAGAAGCUAGAGAAGGCCGAGACAUGGCUGCUCGGUGAGAAGGAGGCCACGGAGAACACGUCGUGGGUGGCUGCGCGAGGAGGACGAGCAUUGGAGGCUUCCGUUUUUUUGGAUUACUUAAUGCUCUUCGAUCACCUCAUGCUGAGAAGUUGAUGUCUGCUGCCUGUUUGCUAUUUCAGUAAAGAAAGGAAACGCUUAUCAGGAGUAUUUUAAUCAAUUGCUUUCAUCAAUUCAAAUGGUAAAAGAGUAGUACAAAAUUGCUUAAUAAAAAGUCUG